AUUGAACGCUGGCGGCAGGCCUAACACAUGCAAGUCGAACGAGCGGCGGACGGGUGAGUAAUGUAUGGGGAACUGCCUGAUGGAGGGGGAUAACUACUGGAAACGGUGGCUAAUACCGCAUACCAUCGGAUGUACCCAGAUGGGAUUAGCUAGUUGGUGGGGUAACGGCUCACCAAGGCGACGAUCCCUAGCUGGUCUGCGAGGAUGAUCAGCCACACUGGGACUGAGACACGGCCCAGACUCCUACGGGAGGAAGCAGUGGGGAAUAUUGCACAAUGGGCGCAAGCCUGAUGCAGCCAUGCCGCGUGUAUGAAGAAGGCCUUCGGGUUGUAAAGUACUUUCAGCGGGGAGGCGUUACCCGCAGAAGAAGCACCGGCUAACUCCGUGCCAGCAGCCGCGGUAAUAC
rnacentral:rRNA from 1 species